rnacentral:rRNA from 1 species
CCUGGUGGUUUUUGCGAGAUGGCUGCACCCGAUCCCAUCCCGAACUCGGAAGUGAAACGUCUCAGCGCCGAUGGUACUUUGUCUUAAGGCACGGGAGAGUAGGUCGCUGCCAGGU